GAUGAACGCAGGCGGCGUGCCUAAUACAUGCAAGUCGAGCGAACAGAUGAGGAGCUUGCUCCUCUGACGUUAGCGGCGGACGGGUGAGUAACACGUGGAUAACCUACCUAUAAGACUGGGAUAACUUCGGGAAACCGGAGCUAAUACCGGAUAAUAUAUUGAACCGCAUGGUUCAAUAGUGAAAGACGGUUUUGCUGUCACUUAUAGAUGGAUCCGCGCCGCAUUAGCUAGUUGGUAAGGUAACGGCUUACCAAGGCAACGAUGCGUAGCCGACCUGAGAGGGUGAUCGGCCACACUGGAACUGAGACACGGUCCAGACUCCUACGGGAGGCAGCAGUAGGGAAUCUUCCGCAAUGGGCGAAAGCCUGACGGAGCAACGCCGCGUGAGUGAUGAAGGUCUUCGGAUCGUAAAACUCUGUUAUUAGGGAAGAACAAAUGUGUAAGUAACUAUGCACGUCUUGACGGUACCUAAUCAGAAAGCCACGGCUAACUACGUG
rnacentral:rRNA from 1 species